rnacentral:rRNA from 1 species
GAAUAACACGAGGAAACUUGUGCUAAUACCGGAUAAGUCUUUACGGAGAAAGCUUUAUGCACCAUUGGAUGAGCCCGCACUUGAUUAGUUUGUUGGUGGGGUAAUGGCCUACCAAGACUGUGAUCAAUAGCUGAUUUGAGAGGAUGAUCAGCCACAUUGGGACUGAGACACGGCCCAAACUCCUACGGGAGGCAGCAGUGGGGAAUCUUGCACAAUGGAGGAAACUCUGAUGCAGCGAUGCCGCGUGAGUGAAGAAGGCCCUUGGGUUGUAAAGCUCUUUUGACUGUACCCGAAUAAGAAGGUCCGGCUAACUUCGUGCCAGCAGCCGCGGUAAUACGAAGGGACCUAGCGUAGUUCGGAAUUACUGGGCUUAAAGAGUUCGUAGGUGGUUGAAAAAGUUAGUGGUGAAAUCCCAGAGCUUAACUCUGGAACUGCCAUUAAAACUUUUCAGCUAGAGUAUGAUAGAGGAAAGCAGAAUUUCUAGUGUAGAGGUGAAAUUCGUAGAUAUUAGAAAGAAUACCAAUUGCGAAGGCAGCUUUCUGGAUCAUUACUGACACUGAGGAACGAAAGCAUGGGUAGCGAAGAGGAUUAGAUACCCUCGUAGUCCAUGCCGUAAACGAUGUGUGUUAGACGUUGGAAAUUUAUUUUCAGUGUCGCAGCGAAAGCGAUAAACACACCGCCUGGGGAGUACGACCGCAAGGUUAAAACUCAAAUGAAUUGACGGGGACCCGCACAAGUAGUGGAGCAUGUGGUUUAAUUCGAAGAUACGCGCAGAACCUUACCAACACUUGACAUGUUCGUCGCGACUCUAAGAGAUUAGAGUUUUCGGUUCGGCCGGACGAAACACAGGUGCUGCAUGGCUGUCGUCAGCUCGUGUCGUGAGAUGUUGGGUUAAGUCCCGCAACGAGCGCAACCCUCACUUUUAGUUGCCAUCAUUAAGUUGGGCACUCUGAAAGAACUGCCAGUGAUAAGCUGGAGGAAGGUGGGGAUGACGUCAAGUCCUCAUGGCCCUUACGUGUUGGGCUACACACGUGCUACAAUGGUAUCUACAACAGGAAGCAAGACUGCGAGGUCAAGCAAAUCCUUAAAAGAUACCUCAGUUCGGAUUGCACUCUGCAACUCGAGUGCAUGAAGCUGGAAUUACUAGUAAUCGUGGAUCAGCGUGCCACGGUGAAUGCGUUCCCGGGUCUUGUACACACCGCCCGUCACACCAUGGGAGUUGGUUCUACCUUAAGGCG